rnacentral:rRNA from 1 species
AACGUAGGACGCAAGCGUUAUCCGGAGUUACUGGCGUAAAGCGCGAGCAGGCGGCCCAAUCAGUCUGAUGUGAAAGCGCCCGGCUCAACCGGGCGAGGCCAUUGGAAACUGUUGGGCUGGAGGGCAGUAGAGGCAGGCGGAAUUCCGGGGUGGAGUGGUGGAAAUGCGUAGAGAUCCGGAGGAACACCAGAGGCGAAGGCGGCCUGCUGGGCUGCACCUGACGCUGGAGGAGCGAAAGCGUGGGGAGCGAACAGG